rnacentral:misc_RNA from 1 species
CUUUUUAAAAUUUAAUUUAAUCCAUUUAACUACAAUUAUAAUAAUUAACUAAAAUUCAGUUAUAAUACACAAAAUUAAAAGUUUUGCCUACACUAAUAGUUACUCCUCAGUUUUGAAUUUUUUCUUUUGUCUAACUGGCCAAUUACAAGAUUACACAGCAUAAUUCUAGGUGACGCCAGUUCUCAUACUACUUGCUCAAACCAUAUAAGAGGAUAGCCUCCUGAGGAUCUCCAGCUUCUUUGAAUGUGGAAAGGAACUGCCACAUGUCCAAACUCUCAAGGCAAGCAAAAAUGCAUCAAAGCCCAGAGUUCAGUGAGAUUAUUCUGAAUAGGGGUGUCAGUCGUCAAUAGCAGCCUUGGCAUGAGGAAGCACUCUUUCGGAAGGUUUAACUUCAACAAUCAAACAAAAGAAAAGCAAAGAAAAGUCUUAGUAACAAUAGACAUGCAAUAUGAUCUAGUUUUACUACACUCAGCAAGCACCUACUACUUCAAACUCUAUAAAGCACUCGUACAUGCAAUUAAACAUUUCAAACAUCUCAAUUGUACAACGAAAAUAUUGAGUUCUGUAAUGGUCCCUGCUAUAAUAUUUUCUUUUCUUUUCUUUUUAAUUUUUAAUUAUCACGCCAAUAGUCUUUUCAUAAUUACAUCAUUUAGUUUGUGAUAACAAAGUGCACACUAUGAAUUUAUUGAUCCAAAUUUAGAUAAUCUAAUUACAUACCCAGAAUCCAGCGUUGACAUGAUUCACAAUUUGCAUAAUGACAAAUAAAAUGAACUCACAAUUAGACAUGCAUUGGAAAGAUUUUUAAGUCUAUGAGCUUCAUCAAUUAUUACAUGAUGCCAAGGAAUUUGGGAAAGAAAAUCUAGCUCCAUCAGUGCUUUGUCAUAAGUUGUCAAGAGCACAGCCAAAGGCAAUAAGGAUUCCUGUAAACAGAAUUAAAAAUGUCAACACAAGAAUUCUAGAUUGUAGAGAAAAGUCUAAACUUCAUAUUAUUACAGAUUAACAGGGAAAAUUCCUAUAAAAUUGAAUCCAUAAGAAGUCACAUAGUGAUUAUACUCUGUAGAUGCAUUGCAGGAUUCCAAACUCACAUCAGUUGAUGAAAUAUGUUCGUUUACAUGCUCGUAUGUUGCCUCGAGUAGAUUGCACAGCUGUUCUUUGUAACUCACAUACCUAAGAAGCUUUAGUUUUGGAGUGGAUUUGGCCCUCUUUGAAAAACAACAAUCUUUAACACUUGAGGACACAAUACUACAGCAAAAAUUUAAAAAACAAGAAAACAAGAAUAUUUGCAGAUGCAGGUCGGUAACAGAGAGAUGGCCAAAGAGUUCAAACUCAAUUAAUCAAAAACAGGUUUCCUCAACUCAGUUGAAUGAUGCAAUCAGACCUUAUAGCGCUAAGGUCUCUGCACCCUGUAGCUGGUUUCUGGAGGUUUGUCUGAAUGCCACUUAUUUGGCAUCCUCUUAGAUAGAAACUUUACUUCUUCUGAUCUUCCCCCAGCUUCUAAGGCAACUCUCAGAUCUUCUAGGCAGCUAAGCUGUUGAUGAUUGCCUUUCUCCACCAAUUCAUAGUACAACUUAAAUGCUUCCGAAAGUUUUUUCAUUUUGCAUAGACCUUCAAUUACUGCAUCACAUAUACCACUAUCAACAUUCUGAUGUUUCUCCAAACAAAACAGCACCAUUUUGUGCGCCUCUAGUAACUUUCUAUUUUGGAAAAGGAAAACAAUCAAUUCUUCCAUGCCAACAACAUACCCAUUAUCAUAAAGUAACCCAACAAUCUGAAAUGCUUUAUCUCGCAGUCCACUACUAAAGAGUAAUCUCAUAGUAUGUGUUGAUAGUUUCACAUUUUGUCUAAUUUUUCCCUCUAACAUCAAUAAUAUAAAUCUAGCUGAUUCAUGCGCACAUCCCUUUUCCAGAAGUCCUGCUAAUAUAGAAUGGAAAGUAGAAGUUUUAGGGACAUGGGAGCUCUUUAUCAUCUUCUCUAGAGUCUGGUAGGCAAGAAGAGGUUCACCCUUGUGCAAGAGACCAUCAAUCAAUGACUGAUAGGUCUCAAAAUCAGGCACAAAUUCUCUUCUUAACAUCAAGACCAAGAGCUCAUAACCAGCUUCACAUGUACCUUCACUACAGUGGCCCAUUAUCAGUGUCUUGUAAGAAGGAGGAUCUUGUGUUCCCCUUUUCAUUAGCUGCCUGAAAACUCUUUCUGCCUUGUUAGUCUUCCCAUUUUUACACAAAAACUCAAACAUGGAUUUGUAUGCUGCAACCAAAGGUGUACACCCAUCAUCUCUUAAUAAAAUAUCCUUGUCCAAUAGCUCAUCAAACAACUGCUCUGCUCUCUCAAAGUCCCCUCUUUGACACAAAUUUCUAAUCAGAACACUAUAUGUAGCAGAAUCUGGUUGGACCUUCCACUCCAUCAUCUUCUCAAACGUCUUCAGGGCUUCAUUCAAAUUCCCUGCAUUGCAAUGUGCAUUCAUCAAUGUAUUAAAAGUACAGGUAUCAGGAGUAAAUCCUCCAACACCUAAGGCUCCCUCCAAAAUAUCUUUGAUCUUAUCAAUCCUCUGCGCUUCACAAAGACCCUUAAUAAGAGUGUUAUAAGUAACUUCAUUUGGUUUUAAUCCUUUAUUCGCCAUCUCUUGAAAAACAACCAAAGCCUCAUCAAUAUCUUGCUUCAUACAAUACCCUCUAACCAAAGUGGUGUAAGUAACAACAUCAGGGUUCAAAUCUGCACUUUUCUUAACCAUCCCCUUAACGACAUUAUGCGCAAUCUUAACCUUCCCUGCUCUACACAACCCAUCAACAAGCGUAUUAUAAGUUACAAUAUCAGGAUCACACUUAAAACGAGACAUUUCCUUGAAAUACCUAAACCCCUCAUCGACCAUUGAAUUCUUACAGAAACCUCUAAUCAGAAUGUUGAAAGUAUAAGUGUCAGGCGUAACACCAUAUGUGCUGAGCAUUUCAUCAAACACACUCUGGGCCAUAUUGGUCCGUCCACGUUUUAGCAAAAUUAGUAAAAGACUAUUAAACGUGACCACAGAUGGAGAAACUCCAACAGAUUUCAUCGAAGCAAAAAGCUUUACAGACUCUUGAAACAACCCAGCUCUACCAUAACUCCUAAUUAAGCUAUUAAAAAAUCUAUCCUCUAGCUUAACCAUCCCAUUGGACUUUCUCUUGAUGGAGAAGAGGAAAUUACGCGCUACAUUGAGAUUCCGAGCACGACCCAAGAUUUCCAACAUCAAGAAAUAAGAUUGGUCGUUGUGAGUGAACCCCAUUUGUGAAACCCAAUUGAAGAAUUGAAGGGCUUUUGAUGGGGUCCUGAUUAAACGAAGAACUUGGAGGACAGUAGUUUUUGAGAAUGAGGGAGAGAUAGAUGAGAGCGAAGACUCAAGCUCAGCAGACCAGGGUUUGGAGUUGAUGAGUCUGGCCAUGCAUUUAGCCUUAAUGGUUUUUGUAGAAGCCUUUGGUUUAACAUUAGCAUCCAAUUCUUCAUCUCCGUGAUUCCUGAUGCUUUGAGAGGAGUAGUGCCUGGGAGCUACUUGGAACUUUUGAGAGAUGAGCUUGGAAAAUUGCCUAGCUAAGAAUGGCAAUGCCCGACUUGGAGAGUUGGUAAUGGCAAUC